CACAGUGUAGCAAUACAUGGGUGGCGACCGGCAAACGGGUGCGGCACACGUACGCAACCUUCCUUCAGGCGGGGAAUAGCCCAGAGAAAUUUGGAUUAAUACCCCAUAAUAUUUUGAGAUGGCAUCAUCUUAUUAUUAAAGCUACGGCACCUGGAGAUGGGCGUGCGGCUGAUUAGGUAGUUGGCGGGGUAAUGGCCCACCAAGCCUACGAUCAGUAGCUGAUGUGAGAGCAUGAUCAGCCACACGGGCACUGAGACACGGGCCCGACUCCUACGGGAGGCAGCAGUAAGGAAUAUUGGUCAAUGGACGCAAGUCUGAACCAGCCAUGCCGCGUGGAGGAUGAAGGUCCUCUGGAUUGUAAACUUCUUUUAUCUGGGACGAAAAAAGGGUUUUCUAACUCGUCUGACGGUACCAGAUGAAUAAGCACCGGCUAACUCCGUGCCAGCAGCCGCGGUAAUACGGAGGGUGCAAGCGUUAUCCGGAUUCACUGGGUUUAAAGGGUGCGUAGGCGGGCAUUUAAGUCAGUGGUGAAAUACCUGAGCUUAACUUGGGAACUGCCAUUGAUACUAUUUGUCUUGAAUGUCGUGGAGGUUAGCGGAAUAUGUCAUGUAGCGGUGAAAUGCUUAGAUAUGACAUAGAACACCUAUUGCGAAGGCAGCUAACUACGCGAAUAUUGACGCUGAGGCACGAAAGCGUGGGGAUCAAACAGGAUUAGAUACCCUGGUAGUCCACGCCCUAAACGAUGAUUACUCGACAUUAGCGAUACACUGUUAGUGUCUGAGCG
rnacentral:rRNA from 1 species